rnacentral:misc_RNA from 1 species
AAGGAUCAUUAACAAAUCGAUUGCUGUCCACCCGAGAGGGGGGACACAUGAACCCGGUGCCGUGCAGUAAAAUGCCGGCUCGGUGCGGUGCGCAUGCCAGCAAUGGCUGUGCCCGCAAGGUUGGCCUCGCCAGUACUAGUUAUCUAGUUAUUGGCAGGCCGGCCACAUUGACACGCUUGUUUAGUUUGACUGUUUUUCUGUUGCAGAAAUAAAUGACAACUUUUAACAAUGGAUCUCUUGGCUCUU